UUUUUGUUUUUAAAAUUAAAAAACAAAAUGAAGUAAAUUUUAAAAACAGAUUUUUGAUACUUUUAAAAAAUUUUAAAAACACUUUUUUCAUUUUGCUUCUCUCUCUCGGUCAAUUCCUCAGCUCAGAGCCUUCCAUGACUAGCUUCACCAGAUCUUGAGACUUGACUAAGUCAAUAAGGGGCGGGUUCUGGUUUCAGCACUAUUUUCCUCAAGAUUCGAAGAUCGCUCCAAGGUCUGACCACGCUCAAUCAGAAAAAGACGUAUAUUUUGAUAGAGAUGAAGACAUUCCUGAAGUACAAGAUGCUACUAUACAAAGGACCCACGAAACUUUGAAUGAUAGUGUUGAGUUUAGCAUUUCAAGAGAUCAACUUCGUGAAAUGGCUAAUGUCCGUGAUGAAAUUGCUGAUUAUAUAUGGAGAGAAAAUCGACGAUGAAGAUAAUGAGUGAAGAUUAUUAACAAUUAGAAUUUUUUUAAUAGUUUUCUUCAAGAUUAAACAAUUAUUAGUUCAUAUUUUAUUAUGACUUUGUCGGUUUUGUGUUAUAGAUAAUGAGUUUCGUGAUUUUAAAUUACUUGAUUUUUUUUUAAGAUGUUAAUGAGUAUUUUUUAUUUGAUUU